GAUGAACGCUAGCUACAGGCUUAACACAUGCAAGUCGCGGGGCAGCAUGGGGGUUGCUUGCAAUCCCCGAUGGCGACCGGCGCACGGGUGAGUAACGCGUAUCCAACCUGCCCUUCACCACGGGAUAACCCGGCGAAAGUCGGACUAAUACCGUAUGUUGUCCAUUGACGGCAUCCGACUUGGACGAAGGGCUUGGCGGUGAGGGAUGGGGAUGCGUCCGAUUAGGCAGACGGCGGGGUAACGGCCCACCGUGGCUACGAUCGGUAGGGGUUCUGAGAGGAAGGUCCCCCACGCUGGAACUGAGACACGGUCCAGACUCCUACGGGAGGCAGCAGUGAGGAAUAUUGGUCAAUGGGCGUAAGCCUGAACCAGCCAAGUAGCGUGCAGGAGGACGGCCCUAUGGGUUGUAAACUGCUUUUAUGCGGGGAUAAAGUGGCCCACGUGUGGGCUUUUGCAGGUACCGCAUGAAUAAGGACCGGCUAAUUACGUG
rnacentral:rRNA from 1 species